GUGCUCUCUUUGGCAGCACAUACAAUAAAAAUUGGAAUGAUACAGAGAAGAUUAGCGUGGCUCCUGCACAAGGAUAACAUGCAAAGUGGUGAAACAUUCCAUAUUGUA
ensembl:snRNA U6 U6 spliceosomal RNA